ACUCCCAGUGAUGUGUUCUGUUCCCGUGCUGUGGUAUCAUGUUUCUGUCACUGGUUAGGGUCUGUAUUUUGCAGGCAUGAAUACACGUGUUUUACUAAAGUUGUAAUUGUGUGUGGUAAUUCUUGCCUUGCCAUGAAUUCCUCAAGUACCUACACUUCCUCUUGUUAACAGCAAUCUUAGCAAAUACCUGUGAUGUAGAUUCAUGUGUAUAGUUUUAACAGGUCACUGCUUGAAAUAUCUGAUUAUGUUGUUAUCAUUAAGAUUAAAUUUAUGAAAUCCUUAUGCAGUAUAAUUCUCAGCAUGAUAAUUGCAUCACAGAUAUAUAAUUGUGUUCACAUUCUUAUGGUUAGAAUAAGGGCUUGGCAUUUCAUGUUCAAGAAACUGAUUAAAGAUACUUAAUGAUGUGAUUGCAACCUCAAAUGUGGCUUUGCUUAGAUCCUCCUUUAAUCCAGUGGUUCUAAUGCCAUGCCUUUUCUCACUUCAGUUAUCCCCUCUCCCAUUUAUUCAACCAGGGCUAUGGCUUGCCAGCCUACUCCUAUACUUAUCACAGUCUUUCUGUGCACAACUUCUUCAUAACCUUGAUGGAGGCUGUACGUUUCACUGAAACAUCAGUAAGUAUCUGUCAGACUACAUGGUGCUACAUUUCAGAAGACAACAAAUUUAUAGUGUAUCUUACUUCAUUGCUCUAAGCUACACCACAGAAACAAUUAUCAUAGUUCAAGAUCAUUCCUCUGACAAGUCAAUUAGUGUACUGUCUGUAGUAGUUAUGAAUCAGGUAGACUUAACUGUUACAAAUUUAUUUUAUUAAUCUUAAAACCUCAAAAUAAAUUAUUUUUGCCUACUUUCCUUAUUUUGUAAGGAAAUAAAAGUUCAGUAUGUCUGUUAUUCCAUUUCAAAAGUCCACCCCCACCCCUUAAUUUUUGAAACAGUUGAUGGAUGUUCUUGAAACUUGGUAUAUAUAAUGUGAUUAAAGCCCACACCAUCUUUGAUCUUUUCCAUUUCCUGCCAUCUGAAUUGCCAACAUGGUGGCCAUGUGAGCUGAGUGAGCCUGUCAAGGGACUUGAACCAGCCUCCCCCUGAGCCAUUGGAAUUCUGUUCCCUGUUCCUCAUAUUGUUGAUGCGGAUGUGUGUGGAUGUUAGCUGCUGUUUCAUUCCACCUCGAUUAAGCAUCCCAUGU